CAGCGGGGUGAGCGUGAUCCUGGGCGCGCUCACGCUGUGGCACGCGCGACUCGUGACGCGCGGGGAAACGAGCGUGGAGCGGCGUCUCAACGAGAGGACGCGCGCGCACGCCAACGCUCGCGGGCAGGUGUACAGGAACCCGUACGAUCACGGCCCACUUGGAAACUGGAAGCGGUUUUUGGGAGUCGGGCACAAAAGGCACUGGGCCACGCGAGUCCUGCUGCCGUCCGCGCACCUUCCCGCGGGCGACGGAGCGUUGUGGAACGCGUGAUGUGUCCGCUCGCAACCCAUUUCUUCUCUCCAUCCGGUCGCUUCAACGUCAGCGUCCCCGCAACAAACGGCAGCUUUUCAACCCGGAGCGAUCGCCGAUUAGUCAACACCAAGCUGGAAACGCAACGGCCCUUGCCUAAGGCCGUUGUGUGAAACGUGCGAGUUGGCGGCCUUGCCAAAUUGCGUUUGAAGUGUAGCUUUACUGCUGUUAUUUGUGGGUACUUGUUUUAGUUCCAACCUGACCAAGCCGAGAGUGCGAAACGUCGGACAUUGUGCUAAACAGCAGAGGCGGUACAACCCAAAAUCACGCAUCCUAUGCAGUUGGAGAUUAAAAUAAUAUUUUUUUGGCCAAUGCACAUUUUUGAAAAUUCAAGUUGAAGAUUUUCAUCUACUCUGGGCAAGGCUGAAUUGUUUACAAAUCAAAAUAAGAGUUGAUGUAGUGCCUUGAAUUUACAUUGCCCUUUUCAGAUUUUUACUUCAACUUACAUCUCAUAAUUGUAAUUUAAAAAUAUAUUUGAAAUUACUUUCUAGCACUAGUCUCUACAUACUACUGAACAAUGCACUUACAAUUAUUUAAACUUUGG